UGUCUAGGCGAGCCUGUGGGGAGAGCCCCAGCAAGGGGGGUAAGGACAAGGGGGCCCGGCACCUGAGCCAUCAGCCAGCAGAAGGAACUGUCAGCACAGGGAGAACAUCUGUAGGUCCAGGCUGGGACUCAGACCCUUUCAGUGCCAUGACACUACAGAAGCAAAGUUCAACCCUUUGUCCCUGGGCCGCAGGCGAAUGCCCGCUGGGGAUGGGGGGAUGCCCUGCUUUUAAAUAGCACUAGGAACACAGAGAAUGUGCACCCAGGCCUGGGAGCCUGCAAAGAGCCUGCCACAGGGGAACGCCCCCAUUACCUCUUCAUUUGGAGGAGGGAACUCGAUCUUCCUGUCGAUGCGGCCUGGGCGCAGCAGAGCAGAGUCCAGGAUGUCUAUCCGGUUAGUGGCCAUGAUCACCUGCAGGGGAGGAGGCUGUCACUGUGCAAAGGAGCUGGGGUUUUAUCCCACAGUGAGGGGCAAGUGCCCCCCUUCUGCUGGGGCUCAGGGUGCCACCCAAGCCACCUGACUUCCGCUCCCAGCUCAGAAAUGGGGUAGCUGACUCCCCUCUUACCCUGAGCAUGUGGGAGCUGCUCCCUUGCACUGGAGGAGGGGCGCCAGCCUAGCCGUGUGAGGGAGACUCGCGGUGGGGCCGAGAAGUGGCCAGGAGGCCAGGGUCAUGCAAGGCUCUACGCACCUUAAUGUUCUUAGUGGCUUCGAAGCCGUCGAGCUGGUUGAGGAGCUCCAGCAUGGUGCGCUGCACCUCGCUGUCCCCCCCGGAGCCACCCUCCAAGCGUGAGGAGCCGAUGGAGUCAAUCUCGUCCAUGAAGAUAAUGGAGGGAGCGUGUUCCCUGGCCAUCACAAAGA